GAUGAACGCUGGCGGCGUGCCUAAUACAUGCAAGUCGAGCGAACGGACGAGAAGCUUGCUUCUCUGAUGUUAGCGGCGGACGGGUGAGUAACACGUGGAUAACCUACCUAUAAGACUGGGAUAACUUCGGGAAACCGGAGCUAAUACCGGAUAAUAUUUUGAACCGCAUGGUUCAAAAGUGAAAGACGGUCUUGCUGUCACUUAUAGAUGGAUCCGCGCUGCAUUAGCUAGUUGGUAAGGUAACGGCUUACCAAGGCAACGAUGCAUAGCCGACCUGAGAGGGUGAUCGGCCACACUGGAACUGAGACACGGUCCAGACUCCUACGGGAGGCAGCAGUAGGGAAUCUUCCGCAAUGGGCGAAAGCCUGACGGAGCAACGCCGCGUGAGUGAUUAAGGUCUUCGGAUCGUAAAACUCUGUUAUUAGGGAAGAACAUAUGUGUAAGUAACUGUGCACAUCUUGACGGUACCUAAUCAGAAAGCCACGGCUAACUACGUG
rnacentral:rRNA from 1 species